rnacentral:rRNA from 1 species
UACGAAGGGGGCUAGCGUUGUUCGGAAUUACUGGGCGUAAAGCGCGCGCAGGCGGCCGUCCAAGCCCGGCGUGAAAGCCCCCGGCUCAACCGGGGAACGUCGUCGGGGACUGGGGGGCUUGAGAACGGCAGGGGUCGGUGGAAUUCCCGGUGUAGUGGUGAAAUGCGUAGAGAUCGGGAGGAACACCCGUGGCGAAGGCGGCCGACUGGGCCGAUUCUGACGCUGAGGCGCGAAGGCGUGGGGAGCGAACGGG